UAUCCUGCUGUUUUGCCAAGUUCAUUAAUUAGGUGGAGCAGUUUUUUGGUUGAGUGGAGUCUAUAGGAUUUUCUAUGUAUACUAUCAUGUCAACUGCAAACAGUGACAGUUUUGUUU